CUGUCAGCAACAAAAUUCCGUAUUCUUUCUUCAAACUUCGCUUCUCCUCAAAUUUGUGCAGCUGUCCUGUUGAGCGCUGCAUUUGGAUUUCUGCCAUGGAGGGAUUUCUAAUUUUACCUGAAUUUUUCCUGAACAACUUGACACUCUGCAAAUGGAAAAUGACCACCACAUCUACCACUAUCCAUCAAAUCUGGUAUCACCGACAUCCAUGCAGUAAUCUGUCAUGGUGGAAUACCCUCCUCUUCCUCCAGGAGGAGUCAGUCUCCUAUGCUGUGCAGUCCUGACUUUUUCCUCGAAGGCUCUUUUCAUUUCAUCCUAAUGUUACUGUGAGUGAUGAUAUGAAUGAAGGACUCACUGAUUUUAACAAAGUCAGGCAGGAACCUUGUCACGUUUGACAAGUCAUUUAUGGAAAACUUUGAAGUGUCCUGUGUUGGGUGAUGUCAUUCAGUUCCUGGUGAUAGUUGUGUACAUGUCAAAGGUCAUGAAAUGAAUACAAAAACCUUAUUUGUGCUGAUUUUGAUGGGCAUCAAAACAAGAAAUGAAUAACCCCGAGAUGCAUAGGUUGCUGUCAGUUUCUGCUUUUAAGUUAAAAUAUUUCAGUCAGUCUUUUGUGCCAUGGAAAUGUUAGUGAUCCCCAAAAACACACAGGAGCCAAUCUGAUGCAACUCACAGCAGGGUCUUUAUUCUACUCGAGCUGGCUGAGGUGCCUCCCCGCCCCCCAGUGCACCACCAUCAUGCAGGACAGAUUUUUUUGGGGGGGGAUGUCUACAGGGGCAAAGCUUUAUAGUAAGCAGCAAGCAGGGAAUACAUGUGCAAACAUCUAAUUGGAAAGCUCCUGUGGCCUUUAACAUAAUCGGCUGGUGCUGGGAGUCAUAUCAUAAACUUAACUUCUGCUCCCCUCUGCAUUGGUGGUCAUUAGGCAAGGGGUGGGUGUGAUGGUUUGUAUAUUCUUGCACCAGGGAGUGGCACCAUUUGGAGGUGUGGCCUUGUUGGAAUUGGUGUGACCUGGUAGGAGUAGGUGUGUCACUGUGGGUGUGAGCUUAAGACUCUCACCCUAGUUGCCUGGAAGUCAGUCUUCCACUAGCAGCCUUUGGAUGAAGACACAGAACAAUCAGCCUCCUGCGCCAUGCCUGCCUGGAUGCUGCCAUGCUCCCACCUUGAUGACAAUGGACUGAACCUCUGACCCUGUGAGCCAGCCCCAAUUAAAUGUUGUUUUUCAUAAGACUUUCCUUGGUCAUAGUGUCUGUUCACAGCAGUAAAACCCUGACUAAGACAGUGGGCUUG
rnacentral:lncRNA from 1 species